GCUAUACAUGCAAGUCGAACGAACUCUGGUAUUGAUUGGUGCUUGCAUCAUGAUUUACAUUUGAGUGAGUGGCGAACUGGUGAGUAACACGUGGGAAACCUGCCCAGAAGCGGGGGAUAACACCUGGAAACAGAUGCUAAUACCGCAUAACAACUUGGACCGCAUGGUCCGAGUUUGAAAGAUGGCUUCGGCUAUCACUUUUGGAUGGUCCCGCGGCGUAUUAGCUAGAUGGUGGGGUAACGGCUCACCAUGGCAAUGAUACGUAGCCGACCUGAGAGGGUAAUCGGCCACAUUGGGACUGAGACACGGCCCAAACUCCUACGGGAGGCAGCAGUAGGGAAUCUUCCACAAUGGACGAAAGUCUGAUGGAGCAACGCCGCGUGAGUGAAGAAGGGUUUCGGCUCGUAAAACUCUGUUGUUAAAGAAGAACAUAUCUGAGAGUAACUGUUCAGGUAUUGACGGUAUUUAACCAGAAAGCCACGGCUAACUACGUGCCAGCAGCCGCGGUAAUACGUAGGUGGCAAGCGUUGUCCGGAUUUAUUGGGCGUAAAGCGAGCGCAGGCGGUUUUUUAAGUCUGAUGUGAAAGCCUUCGGCUCAACCGAAGAAGUGCAUCGGAAACUGGGAAACUUGAGUGCAGAAGAGGACAGUGGAA
rnacentral:rRNA from 2 species